GGAUGCGAUCAUACCAGCACUAAAGCACCAGAUCCCAUCAGAACUCCGAAGUUAAGCGUGCUUGGGCGAGAGUAGUACUAGGAUGGGUGACCUCCUGGGAAGUCCUUGUGUUGCAUUCC
rnacentral:rRNA from 1 species